CCUGCAGCUCCAUGUUGAGGCAAUCUCCUCCCAGGGGGGUCUUGGGCCCUCCUCACCCUGCCUCUGAUGGUCUCAACUGUUUUCUGGGACUGGAGGCAAUGAGAGGUGCCCUAGGGGGAUGGUGACUGUGGCUCUGUGAUCUCUAGUUGCCAUAGUGACUGAGCACCACACGGACCUCCACGCUCUGCCUGCUGCCUGCACUUCCGCCCGUGCUAUCCCUGAAGAGAGUUUCAGGAGCGGCGCCUGCUGUGGUGACUUGUGCCCCAUUACUGACCAGCAAGGAAGUGACCUACACUUGCGGGUGACCCAGAGUCCAGUGCUAGGAGGCUAAGCUGCAAGUUCUUGUCUGGAGUCGAAGGACCAAUAAUAUCGCCUUCACCUGCCCCCUCCUGGUCCACUCACCAGGAUGCCAGGCGGGACUUUUGCACCACCCUGACUGUGAGGCAAUGCCCUGGGGAUCCUGCUAAGACACAGCUGCUGACACGGAGACGGGGGUGCCUGAGGCCCUGCAUUUGUAACAAGCUUCCAGGCAAUGCCUGUAAUCCUGGUCCUCGGUCCAGAGUUUGAGAAGCAAAAAAAUAAAUAAUUUAUAGGGCCCCUUGCCUCUCCUCAAAGUCUGGUUAUAUUUUCUAGAUAAUAAGUGCUAUCAGUACCUCGCAAGGAGAACAAAAUGGCUCAAGGAUAGCUGGAGGCAAAGAAAGUGCAGUGUGUCUUCCAAAAUCACUAACUCAAAUAAACGGGCUGCCUCUCCGGGGAGGCUCCUGGGAGGAGAGUGUGCCUUCGGUGAGCUCAUUCGCAGGCGUUUCUCCUUCGGGAUUUACGUUGCUUUCGUGCUAUAGCUUCUUUGGAAAAUUGCUUGGUUUAUUGUCCUAACACAGUUUUGUCUCACUAUGGGACACAAUGAAAGAGAAUGAGUUAAUGGUUGAAAGAAAUACAUUUUGGAGAGAGAAGGAGAAACAUGACAUUUCCAGAUGAUUAAUUUUUUAAUGACUUCUUGGAGAACUUUGUUUGAAGACUUCACCAGGAAGAUUGCAUGUAUACAUGUGUGUUUCUUAAUCCAUUUUUGUGGCCUUAAGUCCUAGGAAAAAAUGGUACUGGACAGCCGGAAGUGGCAUUUACUUGGAACCACACAGGAAGAAGUACAUCAUAAUUCUGGGAGUUUGCUGUGGCAAUUUGCAAAGGCCUUUCACACAGCUGGACCCCUCUCACUUUUCAUGAAGAACCCCCCACGCGCCGGCAGACAGCGGCUGCACACACAUUCAGGAGAUUGCAGGAAAUAAUUUCCAACAGCAAAUGAGACAUUAGUUAUUCAAUGCUGAUAAACAACAGCAGCGCUUCAUCCGAAGGAAUUCCACUGGGAUCUGAGUUAAAGCUCAGUUCCGUCCUCUACUCAUGGUGACCUCGGACAGAGUCUCUGUGCCUCGGGCCCACCGUUGUAAAAUCAUGUGGCCUGUCGAUGGGUCCACGUCACUUGCAGCAUCUUAGUCCUCAUUCUGGAGGACACGAUGUGCCCUCUUAGCAGUGAGCCCUGGAGGGGCUGACUCGCAGCCGUGUUUACCUAUUCCUGUGGUCCAAAUGCUCCUGCCAGGGCUGAUUCAAUUACAUCUCUAGCAGUGAACUUCAGCUGGAUGGACUGACCUUCCAACCCUGAACUUCAAGGAAGAGGCACUGGCCUGAAGCGCACAGCUGUGAUGAUCCCAGCAGGUCUGUGCAGCAGCUCAGCUGGCCUCUCCCUGCAAACUAACGUUCGUGCCUGCUGCAGGGGUGGGCUGGGGUGGCUCAUAUCAGCUCAAGAGAGCUGAGUUUUAAAUUUUCACGCAGUCUGCAAAUCAAUUGUCAAAACACUGGCAGCCCAGAAUCAGCCCUGGUGCAUUUACAUCAUGGAAACUGGAAAACACAGCAGACACUGCGAGUCAGCCCCUCCAGGGCUCACUGCUAAGAGGGCACGUGUCCUCCAGAAUGAGGACUAAGAUGCUGCAAGUGACAUGGACCCAUCGACAGGCCGCAUGAUUUUACAGCAGUGAGCCCGAGACACAGAGACUGUGUCUGAGGUCACCAUGAGUAGAGGACCGAACUGGGCUCCAACUCAGAGCCCCUGGAUCCCAGUGGAAUUCCUUUGGAUGAAGCGCUGUUGUUGAUGUUUAUCUGCAUUGAAUAAUUAAUGUCUCAUUUGCUGUUGGAAAUUAUUUCCUGCAAUCUCCUGAAUGUGUGUGCAGCCACCAUCUGUCGGCCUUGGGGAUGAGGGGAGAGGAGAAGCAUGAGACAGGGUUAAGGAGAAGCCUCUGUUGAAGAAUUAUUGUGUCAGGGCUGCUCCCAGCUGGGCUAAAGGACUGGAGUCCAACAGUGUGGAGCCUCGUGGUGUCCACGGUGCACUGCACUUAAAUGUUCUAGAAUUUGAGUGUGGGGCCAGCCAAGAGGACUACGAGGCUGGACACAGGGCUCAGCUGCCCUCACAGCACAGCCACCACAUCACACGGAGGCAGUGAGGUCCGUGCAGGACUUGGUCGCACCUCCGCGUGGCUCCCCCUGCCCAGGCCCACACCUACGUCCAGGGGCAGUGUCCGCAAAGUUCCAGUUCUGCUCGGACUUCCUCCGUAGCAGCAUCACACAAGUGUUCAGCUCGAGAUGUGCACCGAUUCCUUUCCAACCUUCGUCUCCAUAAAGGUCUGUCUGCUCAGCAGGAGUGCACAUGUGCGACUCCAGACUCCUAACACACCUGUGCCCAUUCGCGCUAUGCCUGAGUGCCCUGGUGGGAGCCCUGAGGCCAGGGUUCCAUGCAGACCUGUGAAGGGAAUACAUCGGUACUUCUCAGCUGGGGAUGAUCCUGCUCCCCCAGGGACAUUUGGCAGCAUGUGGAGACAUCUUUGUUUAUCACAACUGGUGGGCUGGGGUGAGGGACGUACUGCUGCUUCAGUAGGGGAGGGCCAGGGAUGCUGCUGGACAUCCCACAAUGCACAGGGCGUCCUCUGACAAAGAUGUAUCUGGCCCCAAAUGUCAAUAGUGCCAAGGCUGGGAAAUCCUGGCCUAUAGGAGCAGAGAAGCUUUGCAGGGGGGUCACUGGUCCCACUGGACUUGGGGCUGCCUGGAAGCCCGGCACACGGUCACUAUUGCAACCCCUGGGAAGGAGUGACAGACAAGACGAUGAGAGACCGCAACAACAGGACAAGGCAGACACGACUGACAUGAAUUGUGCAGAGGACGCCUGAGCUGGGAUUCAGGGGCAGCAAGCCCAGCAGGAUGAGAGGGGAAUUACCUGUGUCUGGCUUUGCCCAGGGUGGAGGACCUGGAAGCUUCACCCCUGAGAAGGUGAAUCCAGAGAUUCAUUACAGACCACCUGAACACGUGACUGUGAUUUCAAUGCCAUACCUUGACUUGCAGCACUUUAAUUCAUCAUCAUGAUUAGCGAGCGUGGCACUGUGGUAUCCAGGAGGGACUUGGACCCAACCACACACUUGCCGAGGAGAAAGAACAACCACCCAGGUGCCCAGCGGUGGGGUGUAUUUGUUGCAGGACGUACUGCCCAGCCACCUACAUCCCAGUGAAUCCAUCUCUUCUCUAGUCG
rnacentral:lncRNA from 10 species